rnacentral:rRNA from 1 species
GAGUUUGAUCGUGGCUCAGAACGAACGCUGGCGGCGUGGAUAAGACAUGCAAGUCGAACGGGAGAAUUGCUAGCUUGCUAAUAAUCCUCUAGCGGCGCACGGGUGAGUAACACGUGAGUAACCUGCCCCCGAGAGCGGGAUAGCCCUGGGAAACUGGGAUUAAUACCGCAUAGUAUCGAAAGAUCAAAGCAGCAAUGCGCUUGGGGAUGGGCUCGCGGCCUAUUAGUUAGUUGGUGAGGUAACGGCUCACCAAGGCGAUGACGGGUAGCCGGUCUGAGAGGAUGUCCGGCCACACUGGAACUGAGACACGGUCCAGACACCUACGGGUGGCAGCAGUCGAGAAUCAUUCACAAUGGGGGAAACCCUGAUGGUGCGACGCCGCGUGGGGGAAUGAAGGUCUUCGGAUUGUAAACCCCUGUCAUGUGGGAGCAAAUUAAAAAGAUAGUACCACAAGAGGAAAGAGACGGCUAAACUCUGUGCCAGCCGCCGCCGUAAG